rnacentral:rRNA from 1 species
AUUGAACGCUGGCGGAAUGCUUUACACAUGCAAGUCGAGCGGCAGCACGGGGGCAACCCUGGUGGCGAGCGGCGAACGGGUGAGUAAUACAUCGGAACAUGCCCAGUCGUGGGGGAUAACACUUCGAAAGAAGUGCUAAUACCGCAUACGUCCUGAGGGGGAAAGCGGGGGAUCGCAAGACCUCGCGCGAUUGGAGUGGCCGAUGUCAGAUUAGCUAGUUGGUGGGGUAAAGGCCUACCAAGGCAACGAUCUGUAGCUGGUCUGAGAGGAUGAUCAGCCACACUGGGACUGAGACACGGCCCAGACUCCUACGGGAGGCAGCAGUGGGGAAUUUUGGACAAUGGGGGCAACCCUGAUCCGGCCAUUCCGCGUGAGUGAAGAAGGCCUUCGGGUUGUAAAGCUCUUUCGGCAGGAACGAAACGGUGAGCUCUAACAUAGCUUGCUAAUGACGGUACCUGAAGAAGAAGCACCGGCUAACUACGUG